CCGACCUCUCCACCUUCUGAGGCGGCCAUAGCAUCAUAAAGGAGGAAACGAUCAACCCCCUGGCUCGGGGUGCGGCAGUGUGGAGACCUGUCGUCAAUGCGGCGCGCGAUAAGCGGCCGUGAGUCCGUCUCUGGCGGAGGCCGGGCGGACGGAGCCGGUAGUAUGGCA
rnacentral:ncRNA from 1 species